GGAGUGGCAGACGGGUGAGUAACGCGUGGGAAUCUACCCAACCCUGCGGAAUAGCUCUGGGAAACUGGAAUUAAUACCGCAUACGCCCUACGGGGGAAAGAUUUAUCGGGGAUGGAUGAGCCCGCGUUGGAUUAGCUAGUUGGUGGGGUAAAGGCCUACCAAGGCGACGAUCCAUAGCUGGUCUGAGAGGAUGAUCAGCCACAUUGGGACUGAGACACGGCCCAAACUCCUACGGGAGGCAGCAGUGGGGAAUAUUGGACAAUGGGCGCAAGCCUGAUCCAGCCAUGCCGCGUGAGUGAUGAAGGCCUUAGGGUUGUAAAGCUCUUUCACCGGUGAAGAUAAUGACGGUAACCGGAGAAGAAGCCCCGGCUAACUUCGUGCCAGCAGCCGCGGUAAUACGAAGGGGGCUAGCGUUGUUCGGAAUUACUGGGCGUAAAGCGCACGUAGGCGGAUAUUUAAGUCAGGGGUGAAAUCCCAGAGCUCAACUCUGGAACUGCCUUUGAUACUGGGUAUCUUGAGUAUGGAA
rnacentral:rRNA from 1 species